rnacentral:rRNA from 1 species
UACGAAGGGUGCGAGCGUUAUUCGGAAUUAUUGGGCGUAAAGCGCGCGUAGGCGGUUCGGUAAGUCUGCUGUGAAAGUCGGGGGCUCAACCCUCGAAUGCCGGUGGAUACUGUCGGGCUAGAGUGCGGAAGAGGCGAGUGGAAUUCCUGGUGUAGCGGUGAAAUGCGCAGAUAUCAGGAGGAACACCAAUUGCGAAGGCAGCUCGCUGGGACGUAACUGACGCUGAGACGCGAAAGCGUGGGGAGCAAACAGG